AAGAAGUGCAGCUUAAGGAAAAUAAUUUUUAAAAAAAAUAUUCAAUUAGUUCUGAUUUUCAGAGUACAUAAUAUGUCUAGGAUUUCAGUUUAUUUUGAAAAUUACAGGUCACAAAAUACAAGGAGUAAAAUAAAAUUAUAUUGUGGAGCUAUUUUAGAAUUUGGUAUGUUUGUCUUGUAAGCUUAAUAGCCAUCACAGAAAGCAAAAUUGCCGCACAAAAGUAUAUAUUUAUAUAAAGCACACAUGACAGGCUAUUUACCAAAGGGUAUUCUGACACUUUUUACGUAGCCAUUUCGCUGCCAAUCUCUGCUAAACAGUGUAGUAAAAUUGUGG